UACGAGGGGGGCGAGCGUUGUUCGGAAUUAUUGGGCGUAAAGGGUGCGUAGGCGGCCUGACAAGUCUGAUGUGAAAUCCCUGGGCUCAACCCAGGGCCUGCAUCGGAAACUGUCGGGCUUGAGUAUGGGAGAGGUGAGUGGAAUUUCCGGUGUAGCGGUGAAAUGCGUAGAUAUUCGGAAGAACACCAGUGGCGAAGGCGACUACCUGGUCUGGCAUUGACGCUCAUGUGCGAAAGCGUGGGGAGCAAACAGG
rnacentral:rRNA from 1 species